rnacentral:rRNA from 1 species
GACGAACGCUGGCGGCGUGCCUAAUACAUGCAAGUCGAACGCAGUGGGGACGGGUGAGUAACACGUGGGUAACCUCCCAUCAGAGGGGAUAACACUUGGCAACAGGUGCUAAACCGAUACUGAUGGAUGGACCCGCGGUGCAUUAGCUAGUUGGUGAGGUAACGGCUCACCAAGGCCACGAUGCAUAGACGACCUGCGUGGGUGAGUGGCAACACUGGGAUUGAUACACGGCCCGGAAUCCUACUGGAGGCAGAAGUAGGGAAUCGUCGGCAAGGGACGAAAGUCUGAUCGAGCAACGCCGCGUGAGUGAAGAAGGUUUUCGGAUCGUAAAACUCUGUUGUUAGGGAAGCGGUAUCUAACCAGAAAGCCACGGCUAACUACGUGCCAGCAGCCGCGGUAAUUC